ACGAAUAUAAAUUCUUUUUCGGUGGCCGUUGUUGUUUUCAACUGGAAUUGCCGUGCUGGAGGCAGCCACGUUCGGUCUGGAGGGUCAUGCAGAGGCCUGCUCAACAGAGUUCAACAGAGGAUGCUGAGAGAAACACUGAUCCCUUGCUGGACUACCCUACCUUUUUAUAAUAUUUUGCCAUUUUGCGGAGGAACCCGCAUCGCUGCUUGCAGCUAUAUUUUUUGUUGGUAUAAUUUUUUUUCUUCUACUUCGUGAAAUGGCUCAAUAGCUCAAAAAGUCCUUGACCCGAUUUUUUCAAAUUUGGUCCCAUGAUACAACGGGUCACUCACUACUCCCAGACGGCUAGUGGCCCAAGUGCGCCCAUAGGUGGUGCUAUAGCCACGUCCAAAGUCUACAUGAUUUCCCCAGCGCCCAUUACUCCAAAAUGCCUGAAAAUUGGUAUACAUACCUUAUUUCUCAUGAGAAACAAAAAAGCCUAAGAAACCAUAAGGUCCACCAUGAUAGAUUUGGCUGUACUGUCCAAAUUUGGUACAACCUUCAAAAACCUUCUCCACAUGAGCCAUAGAUCCAAUCGACUUGAAAUGUGUUACAGAUGUGUAGAAUAAAUGCUUUUACACAGGGUGACAUGGAAUAAGAAAUGCAAUACAAAAUGGCUGAAAGGGGUGUAUUUAUGUAAAUGUACACAUUGCCUCAAUAUCUUUGUGUCAAUAAAUCAAAUUAAAUUUUUACUGACGGUUUUUCAAACCUUAUUGGCUUCAAGAUGACAUCAAGUACCAUGCGCAAUUUCAUGCAAUUUUACAUUGAAAUGUCAACUGUUUCUUAACCUUUUCCCAAAGCUGACUAAAGCUAAUACUGUGCCAUUUCUAAUCAUAAAA